CCUACGGGAGGCAGCAGUGGGGAAUAUUGCACAAUGGGGGAAACCCUGAUGCAGCGACGCCGCGUGAGUGAAGAAGUAUUUCGGUAUGUAAAGCUCUAUCAGCAGGGAAGAAGAAAGACGGUACCUGACUAAGAAGCCCCGGCUAACUACGCGCCAGCAGCCGCGGGAAUACGUAGGGGGCAAGCGUUAUCCGGAUUUACUGGGUGUAAAGGGAGCGUAGACGGCUGUGCAAGUCUGAAGUGAAAGCCCAGGGCUCAACCCUGGGACUGCUUUGGAAACUGUCGAGCUAGAGUGCUGGAGAGGUAAGUGGAAUUCCUAGUGUAGCGGUGAAAUGCGUAGAUAUUAGGAGGAACACCAGUGGCGAAGGCGGCUUACUGGACAGUAACUGACGUUGAGGCUCGAAAGCGUGGGGAGCAAACAGGAUUAGAUACCCGAGUAGUC
rnacentral:rRNA from 1 species